rnacentral:rRNA from 1 species
ACGCUCGACACCUACGGGAGGCAGCAGUGGGGAAUAUUGCACAAUGGGGGAAACCCUGAUGCAGCGACGCCGCGUGAGCGAAGAAGUAUUUCGGUAUGUAAAGCUCUAUCAGCAGGGAANAAACUGACGGUACCUGACUAAGAAGCACCGGCUAAAUACGUGCCAACAGCCGCGGUAAUCUGAGGCGGCUGGCAAGGC